rnacentral:lncRNA from 1 species
GACCACAGAAGCUAUUUUUAAUAAAAAAGGGCAACAUUUGCAGAAAUCAUCUUUGCCCUUCCCCAAAGGUAUUGAAUGUAUUUCUGAACAGACGACCAAGAGAACAAAUCAAUACAGAACUAAAAAGGAAUGUACUCUCAAGAUUGUGCAUACAAUAAAAAAAUGAUAAACACACAUGGGGUUGUACUUAUUAGACCAAGCACAAAGAUUACGGUACGUGAGAAAGUCAGCUUGAAUUCCAGAUGUGGUGCUGCCCCCGUUACAUGCUUAGUUAAAAGCUAUACAAAUUCAUUCUUUGCAAGGCAGAGAUAAGAGCAGACAUAAAUUUUAAUACAUUUUAUGCAAUUUUAUAUAACAUGAGCAUGAAGUGUAACAAUGCUAUAAUCCACUGGGUCCUGACUUCAUUGUUAAAAAACAGACUGUAACAUUUCUAGCUGAAGAAAUUUACUAAUCAUAGAGAAGGUGCCAGUACUGGGGUUAGAUGGAAAAGUAGAGGGAUGAGCUACGGAGGGGAGUUCAUAGGUUUAAAACACAACAUCACAGUGUUUCUUAAACUGAGCUCCUCAGAAAUGCUUCGUUUCCAAAUUGCUGCUUAACCGCAAAAACAACUUCGUAGGCUGGGCUGCAGUGGCUCACACCUGUAAUCCCAGCACUUUGGGAGGCCCAGGUGGGCCAAUCACUUGAGGUCAGGAGUUUGAGACCAGCCUGGCCAACAUGGUACAAACCCUGUCUCUACUAAAAAUACAAAAAUUAGCCAGGUGUGGUGGCAGGCACCAGUAGUCCCAGCUACUGAGGAGGGUGAAGCAGGAGAAUC